rnacentral:rRNA from 1 species
GACGAACGCUGGCGGCGUGCUUAACACAUGCAAGUCGAACGGAAAGGCCCUGAUUUUGUGGGGUGCUCGAGUGGCGAACGGGUGAGUAACACGUGAGUAACCUGCCCUUGACUUUGGGAUAACUUCAGGAAACUGGGGCUAAUAUCGGAUAGGAGAUCCUGCUGCAUGGUGGGGGUUGGAAAGUUUCGGCGGUUGGGGAUGGACUCGCGGCUUAUCAGCUUGUUGGUGGGGUAGUGGCUUACCAAGGCUUUGACGGGUAGCCGGCCUGAGAGGGUGACCGGCCACAUUGGUACUGAGGUACGGCCCAGACUCCAACGGUAGGCAGCAGUGGGAAAUAUUGCACAAUGGGCGGAAGCCUGAUACAGCAACGCCGCGUGCGUAAUGACGGCCUUCUGGUUGUAAACCGCUUUCGCCUGUGACGAAGCGUUAGUGACGGUAAUGGGUAAAGAAGCACCGGCUAACUACGUG